rnacentral:tRNA from 1 species
AGGACCCUAGUAAAAAAAUUACAUAAGUCUGUCAGACUUAAAUUGUCAACCACCUUGACGAGUCUUA